UACGUAGGGAGCGAGCGUUGUCCGGAAUUACUGGGCGUAAAGGGCGUGUAGGCGGGAAUUUAAGUAAGGUGUGAAAACUCCGGGCUCAACCUGGAGACUGCACUUUAAACUGGAUUUCUUGAGGGCAGGAGAGGAAAGUGGAAUUCCUAGUGUAGCGGUGAAAUGCGUAGAUAUUAGGAGGAACACCAGUGGCGAAGGCGACUUUCUGGACUGUACCUGACGCUGAGGCGCGAAAGCGUGGGGAGCGAACAGG
rnacentral:rRNA from 1 species